rnacentral:rRNA from 1 species
CGGGGGACAACAGUUCGAAAGGGCUGCUAAUACCGCAUACGUCCCUUGGUCUUUGGACCUAAGGGGGAAAGAUGGCCUCUACUUGUAAGCUAUCACCGAGGGAGGAGCCCCCCGUCGCAUCAGCUUGUUGGUGGGGUAAUGGCCUACCAAGGCAAAGACGCGUAGUGGUCUGAGAGGAUGAUCAGCCACACUGGGACUGAGACACGGCCCAGACUCCUACGGGAGGCAGCAGUGGGGAAUAUUGGACAAUGGGCGCAAGUGAUCCAGCCAUGCCGCGUGAGUGAUGAAGGCCCUCGGGUCGUAAAGCUCUGUGGGUAGGGAAGAAUCCCUGAGGGAACAAUACCCCUCAGGUUGACGGUACCUACUUAGCAAGCACCGGCUAACUCCGUGCCAGCAGCCGCGGUAAUACGGAGGGUGCAAACGUUGCUCGGAAUCAUUGGGCGUAAAGCGCACGUAGGCGGUUCGAUAAGUCGGAUGUGAAAGCCCUCGCUUAACCGGGGAAGUGCAUUCGAAACUGUCGAACUUGAGUAUGGGAGAGGGUCGCGGAAUUCCCGGUGUAGAGGUGAAAUUCGUAGAUAUCGGGAGGAACACCAGUGGCGAAGGGGCGGCCUGGACCAAUACUGACGCUGAGGUGCGAAAGGUGGGGAGCAAACAGGAUUAGAUACCCUGGUAGUCCACGCCGUAAACGAUGAGUGCUAGGUGUCGCGGGUAUUGACCCCUGCGGCGCCGUAGUUAACGCGUUAAGCACUCCGCCUGGGGAGUACGGCCG